AAUCCAGUACUGAAAUGGAUAGCUUGCAAAAACAAGGCUAUAUAGCUAUAGAGCAACUAAGUAACUAAAAGACUCGCGUAUUACCAAUUCCACAAGAGAAGGCUUUCUGUUGAAGCUUAUUUGUAAUCCUUGUCCUUGGAACCUUUCUUUCAAGUUCAAAGGCCAAGUCUUUUUUUGGCACUUCUUAAACCUGUUUCUCAAACUCAAGCUUCAAAUUGAAGUUUCUGGAUAAGUUCGAAGUUCAGAUAUUAAUUUCAAACGAGAGCAAACGGUGUAACUUACGGAAAGUGUUUCUGAAACGAUCCGUACUUUUGAUAUCGUUGAAAGAAGAUCUAUGUCAGUUAUUUUUGUAAACUAAUGAGUAAUGCCUUUUGAGAAAAUCCUCUUCAGGGAGUUAGAGAAGAACCGCAAUUUGAAAUGGAGCAAUUUGUAUGGUCCAAUCACAAACCGUGGAUGCCUAGGCCAUUGCUAAGCAAACAUGUGAGGAUGGGCGAUAAGGCAUGUGAAAUGAAGAUAUUUGAAUUUGAAGAAUUCAUGAAACGUGCUGAACGCAUAAGAAAGCACUUCCCGUACCUUGUCAGCAUCUGGCUAUCCACAGAGAUGCAGGAAGUAAUUGAUAGAUCAAGAUCAUACCCCCACUGGAAUUUCUACUUAGAAAUGUGACACGCCAGGUGGGAAACAUGUCAAUGGCUACUUACGAAGCCAGCCUGGGGAGGGAAACCAGCACGAAUUACCCUCUCGUUAAUUUCUUGAUGGCUGCGGAAUCAGAUUUCUUCGUCGGAGCCUUGGGUUCCAGUUGGUGCUUUCUUAUAGACAGAAUGAGGAACACGGGAGGAAAAGUUAUGGCUGGCUAUUUAAGUGUCAACAAGGAUCGGUUUUGGUAGCUAGAUAGUAAAAUGGCAAAUACAUAAAGAUGGAGGCUGGCAGUUCCACGGGUAUGUAUGUUUUUGUUUGUUUGUCAGAUGUAUAUAUAUUUUUUUGAUCUGCAAUGUCAGAUGUAUAUGGGUAUUCCUUUUUGUUUUUGUAUAGGUUUAUGUAUUUAGCAAACUAAUGCACAUGAAAUCAACUGUCAAUAUUGUUGAUAGUGCUGUACUUCUAUAAUAAAAUGGGAAAAUUAAAUGCAGUUUCCUAGGGUCUAUUUGCCCUUGCCUUGGUAAUCAUCUAGAAUCAAGACAAAAUUGAAUGGGCAAAUGAAAGUAGAAAACCAAAGUUAAAACCAAAUAAAGCAAAAGUCAUUCCUUCCCCCUUCCAUACUGUGGCCCAAAAAUGACUAGAGAAACAAAUGUUGCUAUUACGAUUUCUGCAGAUUGAUUCCGCAAUGUUAUGUGAGAGCUAGUCAAUUCAUGAGCCAUUCAGGCUGCUGAAAUCAUAGUUUGGCAAAUUUGUGGGCAAAUUUUAAGUCCAUCCGCCGUCAUCUUUUGCUACCAAAAAAUGAAAAACUCAUCUUUGGUACCAACUUUAGCUUUGUCAAAGUUGUGUUUUUGUUUUUGUUGGGUUGGCUGUGUGGGUGUGGGUGUAUGUGCAAAGCUGUGCAUGGGUGUGAUGGUAUGUGGGCUAGCAGCUUUGUUGUGUUCGUGUAUGGGGUGCUAGCAAUGUCUAUUGCUGGUGUUGAAGAAGCUGCUAUUUAGGGGGGAGACGAGUGCUAUGUAAGUAGUUUGGGUGGUGAUUUUCUGCAAACCUAGACUGUUGCUAUUGAUAUAGCUGAGUGCCAUUUCCUGGUUUUUCUGCUUCUGCCAUUCAAAUGCAAUGGUUUUUCAUAGUUUUUGUUAAAAAUGAUUAUGGUUCUUGUGUACCGGUCAUGAUCAAGAUCCGCUGUUAAUGCUGUUUGGACCUUAAGUUUGAUUUCGGUUCUGAGGCUGCUGGAUCUAGGGUCUUGCUGGUGUUUUGGUGUUAGGUUGUGCCAAAUCAAAUCUGCCCCAUUUCUUUUCAAUUGCAGAAAAGAGAUCC